GUGCCCUUUUAAGGUUGUUGCAGUACUUUAAGAGGCUAACACAGAAGGGGUGAAGGAAACAAGUCUACAUAAAACCUGGAGAGGAGAUGGUACACAAUUCUUAACUAUUGUGAAUAGAGCUACAAUA
ensembl:snoRNA